AGCGAACGCUGGCGGCAGGCCUAACACAUGCAAGUCGAACGAACUCUUCGGAGUUAGUGGCGGACGGGUGAGUAACACGUGGGAACGUGCCUUUUGGUUCGGAAUAACUCAGGGAAACUUGUGCUAAUACCGAAUGUGCUCUUCGGGGGAAAGAUUUAUCGCCAUUAGAGCGGCCCGCGUCUGAUUAGCUAGUUGGUGAGGUAACGGCUCACCAAGGCGACGAUCAGUAGCUGGUCUGAGAGGAUGACCAGCCACACUGGGACUGAGACACGGCCCAGACUCCUACGGGAGGCAGCAGUGGGGAAUCUUGCGCAAUGGGCGAAAGCCUGACGCAGCCAUGCGGCGUGAAUGAUGAAGGUCUUAGGAUUGUAAAAUUCUUUCACCGGGGACGAUAAUGACGGUACCCGGAGAAGAAGCCCCGGCUAACUUCGUG
rnacentral:rRNA from 1 species